UACGUAGGGUGCAAGCGUUAAUCGGAAUUACUGGGCGUAAAGCGUGCGCAGGCGGUUAUGUAAGUCAGAUGUGAAAUCCCCGGGCUCAACCUGGGAACUGCAUUUGUGACUGCAUUGCUGGAGUGCGGCAGAGGGGGAUGGAAUUCCGCGUGUAGCAGUGAAAUGCGUAGAUAUGCGGAGGAACACCGAUGGCGAAGGCAAUCCCCUGGGCCUGCACUGACGCUCAUGCACGAAAGCGUGGGGAGCAAACAGG
rnacentral:rRNA from 1 species